GGGGAUUUAGCUCAGUGGCAUAAGUGCCUGCCUUGCAAGCAGGCAGUUUCAUGAGUUCAAUCCCUG
rnacentral:tRNA from 1 species